rnacentral:lncRNA from 1 species
GGAUUGGAGCAAUGCACUGAGAAAGUUGCCACAUGAACCAGCUCUGGAAAAAAAUCAUGUUGUGUAAUCCCUUCUUUGAUCCUCCUGGGGGCAGCACUCGCCACUGCCUUUGAUGGCUUUGAAAUGCAACAAUGGCAGCUGUGCUAACAGCUACAGGCUAAUAAUCAAGCUUGCUGAGGAGGUGGUCUGCACUCACACACACAUUUACCAUGAGAUGUGUGUGUGUGAGAGGCACAUUUACAUUUGCAACUCAAACUACACGCCACGGGAGUAACGCCGUUGUAACCCAGCCCAGCGCACAGCCUCGAGCCGCAGGGGACGGUUGUUUGACAUGCCAUGUCUGUAUUUUAGGUGUUCCAUUGUUGCACUGAUGGUUUAAGAAUGAAAUGUUUACAAAAUGUUAAAUGCUUAUACUCUGUUUGCACUAUGUUUUGCUCUCAAGUUUGCACUAAAGUCUUACAAAGUCCAAGAUUUUGCACUGCUGCCUGAACUAAAUAAAUUUUAUAAAAGUGACUUGAGAUUCAAGCAAUUGUUUAUUCUUUUUAGUGACCAGAGGCCUGUACUACGAAGCUGGAUUUGGUCUUAGUGAGAUAACUUCUGGAUAACUUCUGGGUUUUCCGUACUGCGAAGGUGGAUCUCUUUUUAUCCGGGUCCGUUGCCCCGGUAACUUACGCGGAACGCCAAACCUGCUCCGGAGCAGGUUAUGUUUCAGGAUAAGAUCUCAGCAGGUAUAAAAGACCGCCCACUGACCAAUCGGAUCUCUUGGAAAAUGGCUUGCCCACUUUUGCUGGAUCCCGGGGACAUCGUUGCAUGGAUAGUGAGAGGAGCGCUUCACCGUGAGCGUUAUAUUCAUGAUCGUUCAAAUUCGUUUGAUUUACCCGAUGACGUUCUCUACGAACGUUACAGGUUUUCCUCGGGCGGCCUCAAUAAAGCAUGAAGUCUAAGCAAUGCACUAAUAUUUGUCAAGCUCCAGGUUCCAAUUUCAUGCAGCAUAUCAGUCAUCAUUCAGAAUUUAUUGAAGCAGAUUAGAAAACUCCUCUUAACCCCAAAUGUGUCUGCAGAUGACAUGACCAUCAGAUGAUGAAGGGAAAAAAAAGGCAGUGUGAGGAAAUCACUGUUUACGUGUUGAAAUAGGUAGUUUACCACCACCAAAAGUAUGACUGUGUGAGCGAAUGAAUGAUGUAUCCAAUGUAACACAGUUGUGUGUAAAUUGUAUGAAAAUAAAACACUUUUGUGUGAAGAAUACAUAACGCAGCUAUGUGUAAAUAGCAUGAAAAUAUGACACAGCUCUGUGUUAUCUUUGUGUAAACCAAACACAGUUGAUGUGUUGACACAUUUAACACACAACAUGUGUAAAAUCUAUCAACACAAAGUCAUGUGUCAAAACAACACAUUGUGUGUUGUCCUUAACUAGACACACGGAUGUGUUAAGAAAUAACACAUGAUGAGUUACUUUUAACACAUUCAUUUUGAGAGUGUACCGCCACAUAGGUAGCGUCACUGAUAAAAGUAAACCGCCGUCUCCAUACAGAACCAUCAUUGUCAACAACACGUUUGGAACCAUCACCUGGUUUGAAAAUUUUUCUUGGGGGUGCCAUUGUGGUGUGUGUGUGUGUGUGUGUGUGUGUGUGUGUGUGUGUGUGUGUGUGUGUGUGUGUGUGUGUUUUGCUAUAUUUGACCUCUUAUUUAUUUAUUUUUUUACCAGAUUGUCAAUGAUCCUGUAUACUAAUGAGACUGAAUGUAGUGUCUGUGCUAUGGUAUGUUCUAAAUUUUGUGUGUUUUUGGCAUGUAAAUCAAGCACCUGGUUUUGUGUUUUCACAAGGUCUGAUAAGAUAUCAACUGAUCCUUGAAACUUUUCAAGUCUGUUGUUUAUACAGUCUGAAAAGUUGUUGACACAGUCCUCAAUACACACAGCUGAGGCCUGUGUGGCCUGCUCACUCCUGCUGGGUCCUGCGGCCAGAGUUAUCCUAUACCACGCAAGGCUGUGAUUUAGACAACUCUAAACAAAGUCGGUUUAAUUCCGACAGGCCCGAUUGGGCUAUGUUACGAUCAACGCCUUCUAAAACACCCUCCCCAUCACUACACAGAAAUGUAGGUAUUGUGUUUAAAUAAUCCCCACCUGCCCCGUUGAUUAAAUUUUGAUUAUCCUGAGGGUUGUCGAUCGUGUUAUUUUCAUGUGCUUGACUGCUAGCCACCGCAGGAAUCCGAUGGAUCACUGUAACCAAAUCGUCUAAAAAGACAAGAAUAUCGAAAUUGCUUUGUGGUAGCACAAGUGACAAAUUAUCCUCCUCAACUAGCCUUCGAAUAAGGAUAAGCCAAAUUGGUUGUUUUGUUUACACGAAUAUUGACACACACAAUUGUACACAUUAUGCAUACCUUUUACAUGGCUGCGGUGUCUUUCCUUUUGAUUUGCGCUUUUAAUAAUAAUAAUAAUAAUAAUAAUACAUUUUAUUUGUAAAGCGCUUUUCAAAGACUCAAAGCUGUACAGAGUAAGCAGUAAAAACACACAUCAAUAAGUAAGAAAAUUUACAGCAAUAUAAUAAAAACAUGUAAUCAGGUAAAAUCUAAUGGGGGGGGGGGGUUAGGAGGGAUGAAAGGCAGUGCGGAAGAGGUGGGUUUUGAGAAGGGUUUUGAAUCUGGUGAGGUCAGUGCAGUUUUUGAGUUCAAGUGGGAGUGAGUUCCAGAGGGUGGGGGCGGCGACUGAGAGGGCUCUGUCCCCCCAGGUUCGGUGCUUGGUCAGGGGAACUGUGAGGAGGUUGGCAUUGGCGGAGCGGAGGGUGCGGGAGGGGAUGUAGGGGUGGAGAAGAUCCUGUAGGUAGGGGGUGAGUUGGGUGAAGGAGAGGUUGCUGUCGAAGAGAAUGCCAAGGUUGCGACAGUGGGAGGAGGGGGAGAGGAUGGAGUUGUUGAUGGAGAGAUGAAAGUUUGUGACUGUGAGGGUGAGGGAGUUUGGGCCAAUGAUGAUGAGAUCUGUUUUUUUCAUAAUUGAGUUUAAGAAGAUUGCUGUCCAUCCAGUGUUUGAUGUCAGAGAGGCAGUUUGAGAGGGAGCGUUGGGUCUGGGGGGUGAUGGAGUUGGAAGAGAUAUAUAAUUGAAUGUCAUCAGCAUAGCAGUGGAAGUGGAGGUUGUGUUGAUGGAGGAUGUGGCCAAGAGGGAGGAGGUAGAUGAUGAAGAGGAGGGGACCAAGCACCGAACCCUGGGGGACACCUUGGGACACGGGGGCGGUUGUGGAGGAGCAGUUGUUAAUAUGGAUGAAGUGAUUCCGGUCUGUGAGGUAAGAGUGGAUCCAGUUAAGAGCGGUGUCUGUGAUAUUGAGGAGGGAGUGUAGGCGGGACAGAAGGAUAGCAUGGUCGAUGGUGUCGAAAGCAGCGGAGAGGUCGAGGAGGAUGAGGAUGGAGAGUUGGCCAGAGUCAGCAGAGAUGAGGAGGUCAUUUGUCACUUUUAUGAGGGCAGUUUCGGUGCUGUGGUGGGUGCGGAAUCCUGAUUGGAACUGUUCAUAUAGGUUGUUAUUGUUGAGGUGGGUUUUGAUUUGUGAUGCGAUGACACGUUCGAGGAUUUUUGACAGGAAAGGGAGGUUUGAGAUGGGCCGGAAGUUACUAAUGUCAUCGGGGUUGAGUCCAGGUUUUUUGAGGAUGGGGGUGACAGCAGCCAGUUUAAGUGACGGGGGAACAGUGGCGGAGUUGAGGGAGGAGUUGAUGAUCUGUGUUAUGACUGGGGAGAUGACGGGGAGGCAGUGCUUGAUGAGGGAGGAUGGGAUGGGAUCGAGGAUACAGGUGGAUGAAGACAUGGAGCAGAUGAUAUUAGUCACGUCGGUUGAGGAGACAGGUGAGAAGCAGGAGAGUGCUGAUGGGAUGAGGGGAGGAGGGGAGGAGCAGGGAAUGGAGGGUGGGGGAAGGGAGUUAUAGAUUGCAUUGAUUUUGGUUUGAAAAGAGGAGAGGAAUGUGUUGCAUUUUUCCGGGGUGAAGGUGAUGGAGGUACUGUCUAUGGGGUGGAGCAGUUUUUUGACGGUGGAGAAAAGAGCCUUUUGGUUGCUGGAGCCGGAGUUGAUGAGGUUGGAGUAAUAGGAUGAGCGGGCGGAUUUGAGGGCUGUUCUGUAUAGGUGGAGGUGGUCGGUGUAGGCUUGGAGAUGGACAGUGAGACCGGUUUUGCGAUAUAGACGUUCCAGUUGGCGUUUAUGGGAUUUCAUUUUGUGUAGUUCUGAAGUAUACCAGGGGGCAGAGUGUCUGAAUGAAACUGUUUUUGUUUUGAGAGGUGCGAGCUGGUCCAGGCAGGAGGAUAGAGUGUUGUUGUAGUAGUUGAUUAGGUCAGGAAGUUUAGCAGAUGGUGAGGGAGGGGAUGCAGUGAGGGUGGCAGAUAGGGAAGCGGAGAGGUCCUGUGGUGAGAUGAAUUUGAGGUUUCUGAAGGUAAUUUGUCGUUUUUCACUGUGGGGCAGAGGGGGAGGUCGACGUUGAAAGUGACAGCCAGGUGAUCUGAUAUAUAGAGGUUGGUGGUGGAGAGAUGGUGGAUGGAAGAUGCCGGUGGAGCAGACGAGGUCGAGGGUGUGGCCAUGGGAGUGGGUGGGGGAGUGCACGUGCUGGGUGAGAUUGAGGGUGUCGAGGAGAUCCAGGAAAUCAGAAGCUUGUUUGCAGGUGGGGUUGUCAAUGUGAAAGUUGAAGUCUCCAAGCAGCAGGACAGAGGAUGAGAUGGUGUUUAGGUGGGUGACAAAUUCAGAGAAAUCCGAGAGGAAUGAUGGGUGGGGCUUUGGGGGACGGUAGAUAGUAACAAUGACCAGAGGGGUGGGGCCAGGGAGUUUGACAGAGAUAUUUUCAAAUGAGUGGAGGGACAGGGUGGGGGCGGGGGUGGUCUUGAGGGUUUGUUUGUAAAUCACUGCGACGCCUCCGCCUCGUCCAGUGAGGCGGGGUUGGUGCAGAUAGGAGUAACCGGGGGGGGUGGCUUGGUUGAGUGGAAAGAGGUCGAGAUGGUUGUGCCAGGUUUCAGUUAGAUAGAGGAAGUCCAGGUUAUUGUCUGUUAUGAAGUCAGCUAGGAUGUGUCCUUUGUUAUUGAGGGAGCGGGUGUUUUGAAGGGCCAUCUUCAGGGGAGGGGGCUGUGGGGUGGGCAGUGAGGCAGGGGGAAGGUAGCGGAGAUUUGAUAGAUUUCUUGUCCUUCUUUUUGGAUGCAUGGGGUUUGAACGGGAGGUUCCAGUAGUUGUAAUUGUUUUAAUUGUUUGCAAUGGUUUGCAAGGAGAGUCUAUGGUUGAAGGGUGUAGUAGCUGUUUGGACCAGGAGGGGGAGCUUGAUGUGGUGGGGGCAAUGGGGAUGGUGCGCAGUACCAGUUGGAGCCUGCUGGGGGAGCCGGUGGUGAGGGUGGUGAGGGCGAGGGUUCCGGAGGGGGGCCUCAGGGGGGCGCUGUUUCCAGGUGGGGUAGUGGGAGAGGAUGACAGGGAGUAUGUAAACAAUGAUAGUCAGUUGGUGUGUAUGUGGUGUUGGAUAUUAGCGGCAAGUGUCUGAUGGCCCAGUUUGUUUGGGUGAAGUCCGUCAUUAGAAAAGAAUGGGGGUCGGUUCCAGAACAGGUUAAAAUUGUCUAUGAAGUGGGUGGAGAGGGUGCUGCAGAGGGCUCGAAGCCAGGAGUUUAGGCUGAGGAGGCGGCUAAAACGAUCGAUGCUGCGUGUUAGUGUUGGAAGAGGGCCACUUAUAAAAACAGUUUUGCCACUGCGCUCAAGGCUAUCUAAAAGAGUCAUGAAGUCUUUUUUUGUCUGUUCAGACUGGUGGUGAGCAGUGUCAUUUGUGCCAACGUGGACAAUGAUGCGGUGAAUAGAGGCAGGAAGUGAUUGGAGAAGACCGGGGAGUUUAGCUGUGAUGUCGGCGACAGUAGCACCGGGGAAAGAGCGAGUGAUGGCAUUAAAAUAACGAAUACCUCGUAUGAUGCUGUCACCGAUGAUCAAGGUGGUGGGGGGAAACUGCGGCGGGGGGUGCAUUGCUCCUGUGUCCGAAGCAGGGCUGGUGGUCGGGGUACGGGGACUCAGCGGUGCGGUGGAUACGGUGGAUGCCAGCGGCUGCGGGGAUGGUCUGCCACUUCGGUCCAGGGCAGCUGAAACGGGCCCGGCGGAGUUCCGUCGGACUGCGUCCCGGAGAAACCUCCUGCGGGCGGCCGAGGACGCGGGCCGGCUCUCCGAGCGGUGGUCAAGGCGGGUUCCGGGACACCGCGCGCGACCAGGGACCGACGGAGAAGGGUCCCCUCCGCCAGUGCCAGGCCACACGGGAAUCCCACUGUGUGCCGGCAGGGAGGUGUUCUUAGCGCCAGCGCCCGGUGACGCCCGGGAGCUGGUUGCCAGAAGAGCGGAGGCUACCCGGUCCUCGAGCCGGCACGCCGCGAGGGCACCGGAGGGCCCGGCCGGGUUCCAGGGGGUGGUGUUAGUGAUUUUCCUGCCGCGUGUGGUUAUUUCAGUCCAUGUUGAGUCGUGGUUGGAUGCAGCGGUGGAUGGCGGUUUGGACGUGGUGGACGGGCUUUGAGGCUCCCAGGGUAGCGUGUCCUGGAGGGUUGAUUGGAGCGAGAAUAGGUGGAGGGAUUGCUGGUGGGCCACAUCAAUGCAGGUUGUGAGGAGAGUGGAUUUUGACUUAAGCUCAUCGGAGAGUUUUUGAAUACGGAGUUUAAGUUUGGUGAUUGUUUUGUUUGCUUCGUGAAGCGCUUCAGUCUUUUCCAUGAGUAGGGACUCGCUCGCUCUCUCGCUCAUGCUCGCUCUCUCGCUCAUGCUCGCUCUCUUUUACUGCUGCUUGCUCACCCGUGCCACUUGAGAUUAAAAAAUAGAAAACACAGAAAUGGUAUUUAACAAUUUUGCACGUUUCGCACCCCUCGAAGUGUACAUGAAUAACUUGAGACUAAUCUUAAAAAUCCUCAUCCUCAUCGUCCACAGUGAUCGGGUAUGCCCAUGCCCGGAAAUUGGCACCCGUGGGGUACCUAAAAUAAGUAGGUUGUUAAUUAGGUGAUUACUGUCUAACAACAGUUAGACAGUAAUAGACAGACCUGCAUAUCUUUUAAUAGACAGUUUGCUUUUCGAUUUGUACUUUUUACUCAGCUUAUUCACCGAUGACCUGUCACCUCUGGCCUUAAAAAUAGAUAAAGACAUGAUACAUUGUUUUGUUCUUUGCAUAAAAAAUGUUGGUGUUAAAGAUUUCGUUUUAAAUAUAAAACAGUAGUACUAGCUCACAUGCAUUUAAAAGUACUGUGGGGAAUGUUUUCAGAGCCUGCGCUCAACCUGUUGGAGCCUAGUUGAUGAAUGCUAAGAAAAUAUAAGGUGACAUUUUUAUAAGGUGACAAGAUACGACUGAAAAAUUUUUGUAUGAUAAAGAUGCUGUAGAUGCUGUACAUACUCGUUACAAGAUCCAUGGCAGAACAGGAAUUUUUGAUUUUGCGGGAUAAAAAAAAACAAAAACUCGACCAAAUUAUGCUGAUUUAUACACACUUACCCAGGUUUGACACGUUCCCUUAGACGGUACCAUGCACACCCAUUUUUAACACAUUCACAUAUUUUUAAACCCGAUCAAACAAACACAUGAAAAGAUCAAAAACACGUAUUUUUCACACACAUCUGUUGCUAAAAACACCAAAUCUGAUCAGCAUAUGCAAAGACCAUAUGUUUGAUACCAAGCACUUACUAAAAAAUGACUUCUACUUUGAUUUUUUUCAACAUUUGCUAUGCAUUUUGCCUCUUCUGGUGAAGUGCGUUGAUUUUCACCAAGGUUUUAAACCGAAAAUAAUUUCUGCCUUCGCCUUACACUGGCAAACUAGAUUUAUAUCAUAACCAGCAAUUAUGCCUCAUAUACGCUCAGUGCUGGCAAUCAGUCUGUGGAGGGAGUUGUGGCAUUAACAUUAUCAUGACUUGCAUGUCAGACCAAAUGUUUUGAGAGGGAAUUGGUGUCACCCUCACUAGAGACCUAACAGCAGGAGAUCGUGUGUAACUUGUUGGAGUUGAGACUGUAGCACUCAGACUUAAAUGAGCUUUAAUGAAAGGAUUUCACAAGAAACCUAAUAUUUCCUAAACAAUGCUGUGUGUAGAGGCCAUGUCACUCUAUAACUGUGUGUGUCUGUGACGGCAGUGACCCUCCCCCAAGAUGUAACAUCAGUUUCCCCAUCCCCCAGGAUGUGACAUCAUCAUGUCAUCAUCAUUAUCAUCCAGGCACCUGCUUAUGACCUAGAUACACUGAAUAUGGUUGUGCUUAGAUGCAAACACAUAACCAGAGAACUGGGGCAACAUCAUGUAGUUGUCACAGUAGAUGAGGCAUUGUACUGUAGGUUGAUGGAGCUGAAGUGGGCAAAUGCCGACUACAGGGAUUGUCUCAUCGUCAGAUUGGGUGGCCUUCACACUGCAUUAAAAUUUAUGGCAGUCAUUGACAAGCACAUCCAAUCAUCUGGACUGUUAGAAGCAUGGGUAGAGAGCAAUGUACUUGAAUUCAACACUGCUGAACAAUUCAUGACAGUGAAGUCCUAUAACAAGGGAAUCAGAACCUACAAAAUCACUCUCCAUCCAUGUGGUGGAUGCUUAUUCCUGAGCUGCUUAGCUUCAUGGGAGACAGCAAUUUAGACCUCAAAGAGCAAUUGGAGAGGGCCAAGACAACUGCAGAAGAUCUUGUAAUGUUACUUGCUUCCAAAGAGUUUGAAGCUGCCACAGAAGCCUACUUUUCAGCAAAUGACAACCCAAACUUCAAAUUUUGGUGGGGCUACAUGCAGAUGGUCCACAUCCUUUUGUUGUUUAUUCAUACUCAGAGAGAUGGGACCUGGGACCUACACCUUUAUGCAUUCCAGCGAAUGUUGGCUUGCAUUAUGUGGUACAAUCAUACCAAAUACACUCCCUGGGGGACGAUUUACCUGAAAGAGAUGCACCAACUUCCACAGCAAGUCAAGAGAGAGUUUGAUGCAGGAAACUUUGUGGUCAAAUGCUCAUCACAGCGCUUCAACCAAUAGCUGGGCAGAUAACUGUAAUAAUCGUUCACUUGCGGAUAAAAGCACCAAUAUUGUCACACAUACUCCUUAGGAGUUGCUCUUUUGAUAUUUCCAUCUGGCCAAAUGAAAAUUCAAGAUGGCGGCCAUUUUUCAAGAUGGCCACCAUUGAAAAUACAGUAAUAUUGCAUUUUGCAAUAAAAUCCCAUAGACUUGUCCUAUUUGGAUGAACUUGGUGUCAAAUCAUACAUUUUCCACUAUGCAGAAUCCAAAUUUGGACCCAUGGACUUACUUACUGGCUUCCUUGUACCAUAUUUCAGUCCCGGAAUCCUAAUAUUCUGGUAUUUAUGAGGUUUAGAUUAGAUUCUUUGCUCACUGUUUUGCAGAUAUUUGGUCUCUUUUCCACUAACCUGCCCCAGACGCUGCAAAACAUUGCAAACCAUGAUUUGGCUACACAGGAUAUUGAAGAUGACCUGUUGAAUGUUCCACAGAAAGGGCAAGAUCAGUUGGAUGCUUUUGUCAGGGAAAGGCUGAUGCUAUCUAAAGAGAGAAGUGUGAGCUUCAGGGACAAACUGACACAGGACAAGUGUUUGACUUUUUCCUCACUGUUUGAAGUGAAACAGUCAGAUACCAAAACUGGGAAGGCAAAAACUUUCAAGGCACACAGGAACAUCCUAGAGCAGGGGUUCUCAAUGUAAAACGUCCAGAAAAUAAAUUUUGAGGGAGUCAUAGGUCCACAGCGCGUGUGUGGCGGCGAAAAUUCUUCUUUUUUUUCCUUUUUUUUGAAUGUUUUUAUGUAGUUUUAGGCUGGGUGUACUGUACUGUAAUAAUCAGGAGUUAUUGGAAGGCGAAUGAACUCAGUUAAUUUCAAGGGUAGCUGACUGAGAUACACACCAUGUGACUCUGCAUGUGCUGUGCAGCGAUCCACCAAUCACCUUUGUCCUUUACUCAGUUGCCAAUCAGACUCAGUUCUCAGUUGCCAAUCAGACUACCCUGCCAGCUGUCAAUCAAAAUCAGAGAGGAGAAAACCCACCCCUGCACAUGUUCUGUACAUGGAGUGAGACGCGUGUCCGCUGAGAAUUACUUUCGGAACUUUACUGACUGUUAAGCCCAACAAAUAAGAACUGUAUGGGUUUUAAAAUGUAUAUUUCCGUGGACCACUCUACUAUAAGCGGUGCGCGUUUUGCGAGGUGCAUGCUAUUCUCGGAGGACAUGCGUUUCUCGGCACAACACUGCUAACAACAACAACAACAACGAUUGCAAAAUUAGCAACAAACAAGAGAAAACCACCGAAA